GGUGAACGCUGGCGGCGUGGAUGAGGCAUGCAAGUCGAAUGGGUUUAGACCCAUGGCGGACGAGGUAGGAACACGUAGGUACAUACCCUAAAGUCACGGAUAACCCGGCGAAAGUCGGAAUAAUACGUGAUAGUCCCUUCGGGGUAAAGAUUUAUCGCUUUAGGAAUGGCCUGCGUUCUAUCAGCUUGUUGGUAAGGUAACGGCUUACCAAGGCUACGACGGAUAGGGGAGGUGAGAGCCUGACCCCCACCGAUGGAACUGCGACACGGUCCAUACUCCUACGGGAGGCUGCAGUCGAGAAUCUUCCGCAAUGGACGAAAAGUCUGACGGAGCGACGCCGCGUGGUGGAUGAAGUCCUUUAGGGACGGUAAAACACCUUUUAUGGAGGAGGAAGUUUAUUGACGUUACUCCAUGAAUAAAGGGG
rnacentral:rRNA from 1 species